rnacentral:rRNA from 1 species
UGGGGAAUAUUGCACAAUGGGCGCAAGCCUGAUGCAGCCAUGCCGCGUGUGUGAAGAAGGCCUUCGGGUUGUAAAGCACUUUCAGCGGGGAGGAAGGCGAUAAGGUUAAUAACCUUGUCGAUUGACGUUACCCGCAGAAGAAGCACCGGCUAACUCCGUGCCAGCAGCCGCGGUAAUACGGAGGGUGCAAGCGUUAAUCGGAAUUACUGGGCGUAAAGCGCACGCAGGCGGUCUGUCAAGUCGGAUGUGAAAUCCCCGGGCUUAACCUGGGAACUGCAUUCGAAACUGGCAGGCUAGAGUCUUGUAGAGGGGGGUAGAAUUCCAGGUGUAGCGGUGAAAUGCGUAGAGAUCUGGAGGAAUACCGGUGGCGAGGGCGGCCCCCUGGACGAAGACUGACGCUCAGGUGCGAAAGCGUGGGGAGCAAACAGG